rnacentral:rRNA from 1 species
AGAGUUUGAUCCUGGCUCAGAAUGAACGCUGGCGGCGUGCCUAACACAUGCAAGUCGGAUGUGCCGCAAGGUGCAUGGCAGACGGGUGAGUAACGCGUGGGGAACCUACCUCUUUGUGGGGAAUAACGCUCCGAAAGGAGUGGUAAUACCGCAUGAGACCUUCAGCUGGGACGCUGGAGGUGAAACCUGGGGACCAGCAAUGGCCUGGGGCAAGGAGAGGGUCCUGCGUCUGAUUAGCUAGUUGGCGGGGUAAUGGCCCACCAAGGCGACGAUCAGUAGCCGGCCUGAGAGGGUGAUCGGCCACACUGGAACUGAGACACGGUCCAGACUCCUACGGGAGGCAGCAGUGGGGAAUUUUGCGCAAUGGGCGAAAGCCUGACGCAGCAACGCCGCGUGGGUGAUGAAGGUCUUCGGACUGUAAAACCCUGUCGUCAGGGACGAAGGUAGCAGUGUUAAUAGCGCUGUUGCUUGACGGUACCUGGAGAGGAAGCCCCGGCUAACUCUGUGCCAGCAGCCGCGGUAAUACAGAGGGGGCAAGCGUUAUUCGGAAUUAUUGGGCGUAAAGGGCGCGUAGGCGGUUUUUUAAGUCAGAUGUGUAAUCCCCGGGCUUAACCUGGGAACUGCAUCUGAGACUGGGAGGCUAGAGUACUGGAGAGGGUGGUGGAAUUCCUCGUGUAGCGGUGAAAUGCGUAGAGAUGAGGAGGAACACCAGUGGCGAAGGCGGCCACCUGGACAGUAACUGACGCUGAGGCGCGA